UACGGAGGGUGCGAGCGUUGUCCGGAAUCAUUGGGCGUAAAGGGCGCGUAGGUGGCCCGGUCAGUUCGUGGUGAAAGCCCCGGGCCCAACCUGGGAAUGGCGAUGGAUACUGGCUCGCUAGAGUGCGGUAGAGGAGAGUGGAAUUCCCGGUGUAGCAGUGAAAUGCGUAGAGAUCGGGAGGAACAUCAGUUGCGAAGGCGGCUCUCUGGACCAGCACUGACACUGAGGCACGAAAGCGUGGGGAGCAAACAGG
rnacentral:rRNA from 1 species